GAGGGUCUUUGUAAAUAGAGAAAGGCUCUAUCAAUAUAUUCAGUACUUUUUGUAUUUUUCUGAGGAGAGUGAUGCUUUGAGAUGACAAUCUAUUUCAAUACACUUUUUUAAAAUUUCUUUUUCUUUUUCUUUUUCUCCUAAAACAUCACCACUCUCAGCAGCUAGUUCUAAAAGCUGUCCACGUGCAACCAAAUCCUGUUUCCUUUGGACUUUGCUGCUUGCUAUUUAAUGCCUACUAUAUAGAUCAUAUGAGAAGUUGCUAAAAAAAAAAUGUAGCAUUGUGAAAUAGAUUUUUACAAAAAUAUCAUAUUCUAUAUUAUUACAGUAAUAAGAAAAUAAGCUACCUAGUUCCUAAGUGUUUUAGUCUUAUUUUAAAAAACUUUUUUUCCAGAUCCCCACUGAUUCUUUCUUUAUGUUGAUUAUUAGGUAUUUUCAGUCAAGCCAUAGAAACUGCAGAGAAUAACACAAUAGAGUCCCUUCACAUUGGUAACAGUUACGGAUUUCUACAUGUGUCUAUAACCUGCAGAUCUGGGGAAACUUGAGUCCCAGAAGGCCCCCUCUGCAAUGAUGCCUGGUGAAAUCUGCAAGAGACCAGGGCAGAUGGGGUCAUUUGCAGAGAAGGUCACUGGCAGGUACCCACUGCAGAAGUUUUCACAACAUGGCUGAUACUGAUAUCCCCUGCUUUUCUUCCUUGUUCCCAGCUGGCUCUAUACAUCUAUCUUAGCUUUGCCAGUCUUUGGGUGGGGUGAAACUUAAGCGGGACUUUUGUACGGUGCCCCAAAAGGCUAGGGAAACUUGUCAUUCACCCCCUCCUUUUCCCUGUGAGGGGGACUCUUUUAAGCUAGGGAGUUCCCUGUUGGUGCUGUGCAAAGCCAGUUUGGGGAAUGGGGUGACACAUGCAAAAUGAACCUUGUUCUUCCUUCCCCAGUGCAGUUAUUCCGAAGAUUUAUGUUCCACUGUGUUCCUGAAGUUUCUUAUGUGGAUUCCGGGGCUCUCAGAGAGCUGUGUUUGUUUGUGGAUUACUGUCUAAUUGCUGAUCUUUUUGCUGGAACAGAGACUGGGGUCUUCUAGUUGGCCUUCUCAUUGAUGUCACUGUGCAGAUCCCAAAUGACUAUUUCUUUAGGUGAAAAGACAUGUCUAUUUGGUGAUAUUGGCUACAGAUUUAAACUGUGUGUUUAGCAUCCAUACCUACCUGAACCUUAAUGUAAACCUACUAGCCAGUGAGUUCAAGGUAAUUUUAACAUAUGUGGUCAUGCAAAUAACUCUUCAAUGCAGGUCAAUUAGGAAUGCAUUCAAUUUUGACUUGAAGAGACACACGGAAGAAGGAACUCAAAAUUUAGUGCAUGUAACUUGAAAGCCCUGUCGAAGAUAAGACUAUUUUGUAAACACUAAAACUUUGCAGCUUUCAGAAGUUCCAAAUUAGCUAUUCUCCCAUCUAGAGAAGAAAAAUAAUAUUAUCUAACAUCUAGGUCAAAUUAGACAUAUAUGUAGUCUUUUCCCACCACAUAAAUUUUAAUAUAUUAAACACAUGACAUGAUUCCAGUCUGGUGGUGGUUUCGUUGUUAAGCUACCUAUGAGUGCUGGGUAUCUACCUAUAAUCAACUUAACAAACUGUUUUCAACACUGUUUGUUGUCCCUUUCCUAUGGUUACAAUUUACAACUUUUGCUUUAAACUGAUGGUGAAUUCAUUGACCUUAACAUCUCCUAUACGAAAUUGACUGACUCAAUGACUGAGCAGUAGCAAGCAGUGUCUCACCUGAUUUUUCCUUUUUGCCAUAUUCAGGACCAAAAAAGCAAAAAGAAAAACAUAACUCACAUACACUAGCAGAAUCAUUUCCUGAAACAUGUUAUGCCUUUCUCCUUUCUUAAGCAGCACUAACCUGGGCUGAGGUCUGUGCUUUACUGUAAAAUUUCUAUCAAUCGCAUAGUAUAUUUUUCAAGACUGAAUAAUAAAACGGCACCUGUAAAAAUAUUUAACGCAUGACCAAGAAUGCUCUAUUUUCAUGAAAUUUGAAUCUCUUCAUUGUUUCCCACUUUUUCAUGUCGAAGUCAUCCAUACUUCUUUAUUAUCCAAGGGGGUUUUCUUACUGAUACCAUAAUUGUACAUUUUCUUCAUACAUUUGCUAUUCAGUUUAGAUUGUUUCAGUCAAAUUAGAAAAUUGUUGAGUUCUGCUCAAGGUAAUCCUUUAUUUACAAUCUACAGUAUAAUUCUAUCACAUUUUUUUUUUACUUUUGUUAUCGAAAUGACUGUGUUCAAUAAUGCACAUUUUCAGCUUAGGAUAUUCACUCGCCAUCAUUUGUCAUUGAAGCUAACUGCCAAGGAAACAAGGAGAGGGAACUGAGACAUGUCACCUGCCAGAGUUCUACUGGAAGUUGGUGACAGAAGAAUUAAAAUUCACAACCUCAGAAAUUCAGUGUGGAGUUGGCCACAUUCUGCUGCAUUCUCCAUCCUGCACAAGAAUGGAAGCCAGACUGAAGUUUUCAUCAAGUUUCCUAGGAGACCAGGAAGGAACAGGGAAGAAAAAUACUGAUUAUGUUUUUGAGGAAUGGUGAAUUGCAUAAGAGAAGCACCUAAGAGCAGUCUAAAAGAUAUAGCAGCAUAGUCAGUGAAAAGAAGAAUCUAAUCAGAAGAUCAUUUAUAACUGCAAUCUGGAGAAGAAAGAGAAGUAAUGCUGAAAGUAGGAAAAUUAUUUACAAGACAACUACACUAGCAGAGAAGAGAGAUGAACUAAGGCAGUGGCAGUAAGUGAGGGUAAGAGCUGAGGCAGUAAGGCAGGUCAGCCUCAACAGUAACAUGAUCGGCAUUGCUGCACUGUGCAAUAUUUUUCU